GCAGGAUUGCACAGCAUCCUGCAAGACGGCUUGAGCUUUGCCUGAUGAUCCAUGGGGAAUCUUCCAUUCGGUGCCUUUCAGAGAGGAAACUGCCCAGCUGGAUAGAGACAGACGGGGAGUUGCUCUUCUGGUCCUCAGAGGAAAGGAAGUACAGUGAUGUCAGCAAUGACCGCCACUGACAUCUCUACCUGGUCAAAUAGCCAAACUGUCCCAAAGGAGAGCCUUGGUAAAGCACCCGCGGGAAGAAGAAAAUUAUGCUCAAGCAACAGGGUGGUCUUCAGAAUGGAAGCCAGAGUACAAAGACAACUGGAGAAUACACACGUAGAAUAAAUAAGCUGAGAAUAAUGGAAAGUUGGAUGAGAGAAUUGACAUUCCACAAAGGUUUUACUUCUCCAAACAGUUGUUCAGAUCAUCUUGGGUCAUCUGGAUUUUGGCCAUUUCGUCACAGGAAAGAUCAGUUCUUCUGGGAAAGACAUAACCUGCUGAAGAAGUACUGAGAAAGGCUGAAACUGUAAAUGUCGAGUCUACCCAGGAGAGUAAAUAUAAACUGCUUGCAUCUUUCUGGCUGACUUAUAGCUUAUCAAGCACACAUUAAACCUUUAAGCCUUUUUUUUUCUUAAGUAAGAAUAAAUCUAAGUUGAC
rnacentral:lncRNA from 1 species